rnacentral:lncRNA from 1 species
CCUGUGCAGGAACAGUUGCACAACAUGGUUGUGGAUGAAGUGCGACACAAAAAUCGCUACCCUCAGGGCAUUUCUUCUGUACCCCUCAUAUUGAAAAUCCUUUCUUUUCCUGUACAAUAUAUCCUGAUUACAGUUUCCUCUAUCUUUACUACCCCAUGUUCCUGCCCUACUCCCAUGUCAUCUAGUCCUACCCCAUUUGUGAUUCUGAUGGAAAAGAAAAGGCUUCGGGCAGUUGGAACAACACAUCACUUAUUUAAUUGAACUAAGAAACAAAAACUGUGACAUACAGGGUGGAACAGGGAGCUAACAGAAUGAAUGGAGAGAAGUCAGAAAGGCAAAAGAAUCAGAGACCCCCUGGUAUACACAGUCUGGGUUUCCAUGAAGAUGCUAAGCUGAAAGCUGUGCUGUUUAUACAGAGGACCUGGGGCAGAGUCAUGCAGGAUCUGCGUAUUCUGCUUCAGUCUCUAUGACUGCAUAUGAGCUUUGUUCAAUUAAUUUAGAGUCUGUGUUCUCCAGGGGGCACCAUCCCCUAUGGCACUUACAAGUUUUCUACCUGUGCCUUUCAGAGUUCUAUGAUCACUCAGAGAAGUUAUUUGAUGGAAACAUCAUAGAGACAUCCAUUUGAUAUCUUUUUGUUCCAAUGUCUUUCUGUCUGUCUGUCUCUCUUGUGGUCUGUCAGUCUCUGUCGAGGCACAUCUAGGUAGUUUUGAAUGUAUGGGUUUUGUGAGUCCAACAAGAAUGCACAUUUUGCAAGUGUCAUUUUGGUAGCUGAAGGGAC